rnacentral:rRNA from 2 species
CUAUACAUGCAGUCGAACGGGCGGUAGCGAAUACCGCUAGUGGCGCACGGGUGCGUAACGCGUAACCAACCUACCUACCACUGGGGGAUAGCCCGCCGAAAGGCGGAUUAAUACCGCAUAUACCGGCAGCCUGGCAUCAGGGAACUGGGAAAGAUUUAUUGGUGGUAGAUGGGGUUGCGUAGCAUUAGCUAGAUGGCGGGGUAACGGCCCACCAUGGCGACGAUGCUUAGGGGACCUGAGAGGGUGAUCCCCCACACUGGCACUGAGAUACGGGCCAGACUCCUACGGGAGGCAGCAGUAGGGAAUAUUGGGCAAUGGGCGAGAGCCUGACCCAGCCAUGCCGCGUGCCGGAUGAAGGCCUUCUGGGUUGUAAACGGCUUUUCUCAGGGAAGAAAAAGACCAUGCGUGGUACACUGACGGUACCUGAGGAAUAAGCACCGGCUAACUCCGUGCCAGCAGCCGCGGUAAUACGGAGGGUGCAAGCGUUGUCCGGAUUUAUUGGGUUUAAAGGGUGCGUAGGUGGCCUGUUAAGUCCGGGGUGAAAGCCCACAGCUCAACUGUGGAACUGCCCUGGAUACUGGCGGGCUUGAGUCCAGACGAGGUUGGCGGAAUGGAAGCUGUAGCGGUGAAAUGCAUAGAUAGCUUCCAGAACCCCGAUUGCGUAGGCAGCUGACUAGGCUGGUACUGACACUGAGGCACGAAAGCGUGGGGAGCGAACAGGAUUAGAUACCCUGGUAGUCCACGCCGU